rnacentral:rRNA from 1 species
UUUAUUUUGGUUUUAUAUGGAUUUAUUUUAUUUAUUAAAAUUUUUAUAUUUUAUAGUAAUGGGUAUAGAAAUAAUUAUUAUUUUUUAGUACUAAAGGGGAUAUAUAAUUAUUAUAAAUAUAGUAAAAUUUAAUUUUUGUACCUUUUGCAUAAUGGUUUAAUAAUAUUUAUUAAUUUAUUUUUUGUUCUCGAAAUAUAAAGAUUUAUUUACUUUAUUUUAUAUGGUAGUUAGCGUGGUAUAGCUAUUAUCUUAAUAGUAAAUGGUAGUGAAAUGUUAUUCGGUUUAUAUGGUAGCUAGUUUAUUAUUAUGAACAUUUUAGUGUUAUUUAAAGUUAAUUAUUGUUUGGUAACUAUAAUUUUAAAUUAAUGAUUAGGGGAUAAGCUUUAAGAUUUUUUUUGUGAGAAUUUUGAUUUGUUAUUUAAUUAAAGUUGAAUUAAUAAUUUUUCUUUUUAUUAUUUUAUAUAAUAAAUAUAUUUAUUUUGUUCCUUAUUUAUGUUUAAUAAAUUUUUUUUAUUAAUUUAAAAUUAAAUAUAAUGUUAAAAUGAGUAUUUAUAUAGUUUAUUUUGAUGCUUUAAAAAUGAUUUAUGAAGAUUAGGUUUGUAUUAUUUAAAUGUGUAUUGAUAAAGUAAGUCAAAGGAACUUUGCAAAUAUUAAUUUCGCCUGUUUAUUAAAAACAUGUCUCUUUGAUUUAUUUUAAUAAAGAGUUGGGCCUGCUCGGUGAUUAAUAUUUAACAGCUGCGGUAUUAUAACUGUACUAAGGUAGCAUAAUAAUUUGCCUUAUAAAUUGAGGCUAGAAUGAAUGGUUUGACGAAAAUUAUACUGUCUCUGUCUUAUUUAUUAGAAGUUAAUUUUUAUAGUGAGAAAGCUUGGAUAAUUUAAAGGGACGAAAAGACCCUAUUGAGCUUUAUAUUAUACUUUAAAAUUAUUUAUUGUUUUUAUUUAAAUAUAAUUUUGGUUGGGGUGAUCAAGGAAUAAAUAAUUAAUUUUAACUUCCUUAAUUUGUUUAUAGUUAUAUGAAUAAACCAAAUUUUUUGCUUAGAAGAUAAGUUACCAUAGGGAUAACAGCGUAAUUUUUUUUGAAAGUUCAUAUUGAAAAAAGAGAUUGCGACCUCGAUGUUGGAUUAAAAUAACCUUAAGGUGAAGAGGCUUUAAUUGGUGAAUCUGUUCGAUUUUUAAAAUUUUACAUGAACUGAGUUCAGACCGGUGUAAACCAGGUUGGUUUUUAUCUUUUAAAUUUAUUUCUUAUUUAGUUUAGUACGAAAGGAUUAACUAAAAUUGAUUUUUUAUUAAUUAUAUAAGAUAU